GGGCGGCGGAUCCGGCGACGACUGGUGGCCGGGGUCGGGGCCAGGUCGACCGGAGGAGGCAGGGGUCGGGCACGGCCGGCCGAGGGAGGUCGGGGCCGGGUCGGGGGCGCCAGAUCCGACCGCGGGCAAGGUCGGGGGCGCCGGUGAACGGCCUCCAAGCACUGCCGCCAUUGUCCUCCGCGGCCGCUGCUGCAGGAGCUCGAGGGAGGGGAACGCGCGUGGGAGGAAAA
rnacentral:lncRNA from 1 species